rnacentral:rRNA from 1 species
GACGAACGCUGGCGGCGUGCUUAACACAUGCAAGUCGAGCGGUAAGGCCCUUUCGGGGGGUACACGAGCGGCGAACGGGUGAGUAACACGUGGGUGACCUGCCCUUAGCUCUGGGAUAAGCCUGGGAAACUGGGUCUAAUACCGGAUAUGACUCCAUGACGCAUGUUGUGGGGUGGAAAGCCUUGUGCGGCUAGGGAUGGGCCCGCGGCCUAUCAGCUUGUUGGUGGGGUGANGGCCUACCAAGGCGACGACGGGUAGCCGGCCUGAGAGGGCGACCGGCCACACUGGGACUGAGACACGGCCCAGACUCCUACGGGAGGCAGCAGUGGGGAAUCUUGCGCAAUGGGCGAAAGCCUGACGCAGCGGCGCCGC